rnacentral:lncRNA from 1 species
GGGAACAUUACAUAUAAAUAUGGUUUGACCUAAAUAUUAAUUGCUACAACAAGGACAGCCUCUCCUAAUAGUGAAAAGGUCACACAAUGUUUGGAACGUAGUGCCUGUUUUCCAUGUGCACGUGCUGUAGCUAUCAAUGUGAGUUCCACUCUGGAUUAUGCAGUGGGCUCAGUCACGUGCACCGCCGGCCCACGCCAUCUCCCGUGGGCUCUCACCUGUCUUGCAGCACUAUCAAAGUGUGGACCAUUCCACUUCAUCAAUCAAAU